rnacentral:rRNA from 1 species
AGGCAGCAGGCACGCAAAUUACCCACUCCCAGCACGGGGAGGUAGUGACAAAAAAUAACGAUACGGGACUCAUUUGAGGCCCCGUAAUCGGAAUGAGUACACUUUAAAUCCUUUAACAAGGAUCCAUUGGAGGGCAAGUUCGGUGCCAGCAGCCGCGGUAAUUCCGACUCCAAUAGCGUAUAUUAAAGUUGUUGCGGUUAAAAAGCUCGUAGUUGGUUCUGCGUGCCACGCUGUCGGUUCACCGCCUGCCGGUGCUACUGGCAUGCCGUGGUAUGUCCUGUCGGUGGGUGUUCGGGGCCCCGUGCGGGCGGCAGGAGGCCGGGUUCGCUCGCGUUCCUCUCUGCACGUCGGCGGGUCCACUCCGGCUCCCUACUAUCCUACCUAGGUGCUCUUCACCGAGUGUCGAGGUAGGCCGACACGUUUACUUUGAACAAAUCAGAGUGCUCAAAGCAGGCUGAAUAAUUCUGCCUGAAUGAUGGCGCAUGGAAUAAUAAAACAGGACCUUGGUUCUAUUUUGUUGGUUCUUAAGAUCACAAGGUAAUGAUCAAUACGGACAGGCGGGGGCAUUCGUAUUGCGGGGUUAGAGGUGAAAUUCUUGGAUCCUCGCAAGACGACCGAGAGCGAAAGCAUUUGCCAAGUAUGUCUCGAUUGAUCAAGAACGAAAGUUAGAGGUUCGAAGGCGAUCAGAUACCGCCCUAGUUCUAACCAUAAACGAUGCCAGCCAGCGAUCCGCCGAUGUUCCUCCGAUGACUCGGCGGGGAGCUUUUCCCCGGGAAACCAAAGCUUUUGGGUUCCGGGGGAAGUAUGGUUGCAAAGCUGAAACUUAAAGGAAUUGACGGAAGGGCACCACCAGGAGUGGAGCCUGCGGCUUAAUUUGACUCAACACGGGAAACCUCACCAGGUCAGGACAUUGUCAGGAUUGACAGAUUGAUAGCUCUUUCUUGAUUCAGUGGGUAGUGGUGCAUGGCCGUUCUUAGUUGGUGGAUCGAUUUGUCUGGUUAAUUCCGAUAACGAACGAGACUCUAGCCUAUUAACUAGACGGUUCAGGAGCCCACGUCUCCUGCGAAGUUCAMUCUUCUUAAGGGGACAGGCGGCUUAUAGUCGCACGAGUAUUGAGCAAUAACAGGUCUGUGAUGCCCUUAGAUGUCCUGGGCCGCACGCGCGCUACAAUGAAAGAAUCAGCGUGUGUCUCCCAGCCCGAGAGGGCCGGGUAAUCCGCUGAACCUCUUUCGUGCUUGGGAUUGURGCUUGCAAWUGUUCUUCAUGAACGAGGAAUUCCCAGUAAGCGCGAGUCAUAAGCUCGCGUUGAUUACGUCCCUGCCCUUUGUACACACCUCCCGUCGCUACUACCGAUUGAAUGAUUUAGUGAGGUCUUCG